GACGUAGGAGACGAGCGUUGUCCGGAUUUACUGGGCGUAAAGCGCGCGCAGGCGGCCCCGCAGGUCGGUUGUGAAAGCCCCCGGCUCAACCGGGCGGAGGCGAGCGAAACCGCGGGGCUGGAGGCUGGCAGAGGGUGGUGGAAUUCCCGGUGUAGUGGUGAAAUGCGUAGAGAUCAGGAGGAACACCGGUGGCGAAGGCGGGUCUCUGGGCAACUACUGACGCUGAGGAGCGAAAGCGUGGGGAGCGAACAGG
rnacentral:rRNA from 1 species